UGAUAAUGAAUUCAAUGUGCAACUAU
rnacentral:piRNA from 1 species